rnacentral:tRNA from 1 species
GCCCCCGUAUCCCAACGGCAGAGGAAGCGCCCUUAAAAGGCGCUCAGUGUGGGUUCGAGUCCCACCGGGGGCA